CGGGACACGUGGUAUCCUGUCUGAAUAUGGGGGGACCAUCCUCCAAGGCUAAAUACUCCUGACUGACCGAUAGUGAACCAGUACCGUGAGGGAAAGGCGAAAAGAACCCCGGCGAGGGGAGUGAAAAAGAACCUGAAACCGUGUACGUACAAGCAGUGGGAGCACGCUUAGGCGUGUGACUGCGUACCUUUUGUAUAAUGGGUCAGCGACUUAUAUUCUGUAGCAAGGUUAACCGAAUAGGGGAGCCGAAGGGAAACCGAGUCUUAACUGGGCGUUAAGUUGCAGGGUAUAGACCCGAAACCCGGUGAUCUAGCCAUGGGCAGGUUGAAGGUUGGGUAACACUAACUGGAGGACCGAACCGACUAAUGUUGAAAAAUUAGCGGAUGACUUGUGGCUGGGGGUGAAAGGCCAAUCAAACCGGGAGAUAGCUGGUUCUCCCCGAAAGCUAUUUAGGUAGCGCCUCGUGAAUUCAUCUCCGGGGGUAGAGCACUGUUUCGGCAAGGGGGUCAUCCCGACUUACCAACCCGAUGCAAACUGCGAAUACCGGAGAAUGUUAUCACGGGAGACACACGGCGGGUGCUAACGUCCGUCGUGAAGAGGGAAACAACCCAGACCGCCAGCUAAGGUCCCAAAGUCAUGGUUAAGUGGGAAACGAUGUGGGAAGGCCCAGACAGCCAGGAUGUUGGCUUAGAAGCAGCCAUCAUUUAAAGAAAGCGUAAUAGCUCACUGGUCGAGUCGGCCUGCGCGGAAGAUGUAACGGGGCUAAACCAUGCACCGAAGCUGCGGCAGCGACGCUGAUGCGUUGUUGGGUAGGGGAGCGUUCUGUAAGCCUGUGAAGGUGUGCUGUGAGGCAUGCUGGAGGUAUCAGAAGUGCGAAUGCUGACAUAAGUAACGAUAAAGCGGGUGAAAAGCCCGCUCGCCGGAAGACCAAGGGUUCCUGUCCAACGUUAAUCGGGGCAGGGUGAGUCGACCCCUAAGGCGAGGCCGAAAGGCGUAGUCGAUGGGAAACAGGUUAAUAUUCCUGUACUUGGUGUUACUGCGAAGGGGGGACGGAGAAGGCUAUGUUGGCCGGGCGACGGUUGUCCCGGUUUAAGCGUGUAGGCUGGUUUUCCAGGCAAAUCCGGAAAAUCAAGGCUGAGGCGUGAUGACGAGGCACUACGGUGCUGAAGCAACAAAUGCCCUGCUUCCAGGAAAAGCCUCUAAGCAUCAGGUAACAUCAAAUCGUACCCCAAACCGACACAGGUGGUCAGGUAGAGAAUACCAAGGCGCUUGAGAGAACUCGGGUGAAGGAACUAGGCAAAAUGGUGCCGUAACUUCGGGAGAAGGCACGCUGAUAUGUAGGUGAAGCGACUUGCUCGUGGAGCUGAAAUCAGUCGAAGAUACCAGCUGGCUGCAACUGUUUAUUAAAAACACAGCACUGUGCAAACACGAAAGUGGACGUAUACGGUGUGACGCCUGCCCGGUGCCGGAAGGUUAAUUGAUGGGGUCAGCGCAAGCGAAGCUCUUGAUCGAAGCCCCGGUAAACGGCGGCCGUAACUAUAACGGUCCUAAGGUAGCGAAAUUCCUUGUCGGGUAAGUUCCGACCUGCACGAAUGGCGUAAUGAUGGC
rnacentral:rRNA from 1 species